rnacentral:lncRNA from 1 species
UCACUGAGUUGCUUAGCACCUCACUUUUGCUGAGGCUGGCUUUGAACUCACAAUCCUUCUUCUCAGUCUCCUGAGCUGCUGGGAUUACGGGCGUGCACCACCACACCUGGCUCUUCUGGAUAUCUUAAGGCACCUUAUAUUCAUUAAAGGCACCACUCCCUGGUGAGGUACUUAGCAUCCUGCUCUUCAGAUUAAUGCAGACGAUGACUAUAGCUGAAGGGAGGCUGUAAGCAAGAUUUGCCGGCAGUGAUACCCACAGGCGUCCUGAGAUUGGCUUCCUUCCCCAUCAAACUGUGAACUAGUAGCCCAGCCAGGUUGAAGCCCCAAUCCCAGGAUGGAGGAGGUUUUAAGCAAGCAGUAGUUAUGCCUCUCAAGAAGUUUGGAGAAAUGAAAGAGAUCCUCCAGGCCUGGAGGAGAAAGGCUGGUGGCUAGAGGCCCAUCCAGGAGGCCGGUGCACCUCUGCGAGUCUUGCCCGUCUUCCUGUCUUGCAGCAUUACCUGAAAAGUUCAGAAGAUGGAGAUCUUAAAGCCACAUGACUGACUGUUUUAUAGCUAGAAAGGAAGCCAACCAGGGCAAGGCAACAGGAGUCGGUGGCAGAGGGCUGCGUGUGACACAGGGGGCCCUUCUGAUGAGCCAGGAAGAUGGGAAUGAAGGAAAUCUGGCAAUUCAGAUGAAAAGCCAGACAGCAGAAGAGGCAGAAGACAUUACCUAAUAAACUACGGGGGAGGAGGAGGCCCGUCAGAAUCCUCCCUGCUCCUCCUUAGCAUCUCAGCUGCUCGCUCCAUAAGUGGAAAUAAAAGCCCUCUGAGAAGGCAGUGAUUUGCUUAGAAAACAUUCAUUUAAAACAUCUUGCAAUUAUUGACACUAUCAUUACAUCUUGGCAGUGCCCGUGUAUUAUCACCUCCCCUGUGUGUUUGCCGUGAGAAGUGUCUCAUUGUUCAGGAGGGAAAAUAAAAGUCCCAGGAUUAUGUGCAUGGAAUACACGCCUGGCGAUAUGAAGUUGAUUUCCCAGGAAUAAGGAAGCCUGGAUGUCUAUUGUCAUCUACCUUGGUGGCCUGAAUGUUCCAAUCUCUCUCUCUCUCUCUCUCUCUCUCUCUCUCUCUCUCUCUCUCUCUCUCUCUCUCUCUCUCCCCUCUGGGCAGCCAUCCAAAUGAUUCAUAUUAAAUUCUAGCUAUAUUCAGCACAAAAGUCAUCUAGCAUCAGAGGAUCAAAGUUGCAUCAACCAACAAGCACUGGGGAAUUGAUA